CAACUUUCAGCAAUGGAUCUCUUGGCUCUCGCAUCGAUGAAGAACGCAGCGAAUUGCGAUAUGUAAUGUGAAUUGCAGAUUUUCCGUGAAUCAUCGAAUUUUUGAACGCACCUUGCGCUCCUUGGUAUUCCGAGGAGUAUGCCUGUUUGAGUGUCAUUA
rnacentral:rRNA from 2 species